UGCCUCGCGUUCUCAGCGAUAAAUUCAGUUUUAGGAUUUAAAGCAG
rnacentral:rRNA from 1 species